ensembl:lncRNA
CUGUUUUCCGCCACUGCCAACUCCACAGACACCUGUCAUUCCAGGGACAUCAGAAUCCUCACAGUGAAACCACGUGUCUCUUCAACAGUCUGAGCGCACACUAGCUGGGCCCUCCUCGCCAUCAUCCUUUCUCUGCACCUGGGCUGGCUCCUCAUCUGCUACUUGAGACAUGGGCGUUUCCCAAGGGUCUCAUCAUUCUCACCAGCUGGCUCUUCUGGAUGAGUCUUAAAUCUUCGGCUCCAGCGCUGUUUUCCUUCUACACCCCAGGCUUGUCUAGUAAGCUGCCAGACAAUUCCACGUAAAUGUCUGUCAGCCCCUCUAUCAAAUGAGGAUCUUUAAAUUCUUUCUACACGCACAAAAACAAAACCCAAGGAAAAGGCCACCAGGACUUGUCUAUUUCGGUUAAUGGUACCACAUCUUCCUGCCCUCCUAAGCCUGAACUUCAGAGCUACGCGAUUGCUGCCUUCACGGGGCCCUGCCCCCUCUCCCUUCUCCUACAGCUCAGUGCAGUUACAGUGUCCCACAAUUUGGCCUGUCUCACACAUCCUCACAUCCCUCUAGCCUGGCUAUAUUAUCCAGAGCCGCCCCUCCCUGGACACAUCAGUGCCCCACCCAGUGUGACCAGACACCCUCUCCAAUUUGCCGUAGCACCAACCCUGUCAUUCUGCCUUCAGUGACUCCUGGCCUACAUGUAGGGUGACACUUGAAGUACCUCUCCUUUCCACUCCUUCCUAGAGGCUUGUCAAUAAUCCUUCAGUUUCAGGACCAUGGGACAGUCCAGGGGACGUGUGGGAAGGACGGGAGAGCACUUGCAGACUUCAGGGCAGUAACUGCAGAAGUACUUUUAAGUUUGGGCAUCAGUUCCACCCUCAGACAAAGUCCAAGUCCUUGGCCCUUCACCAUAAGUCCUGUCAGACUUCCCAGCCACCACACACUGCACCCGCCUCCGCCCCAGUGUCCUGCCCCAAACUAACUGCUUGGCACUUGCCUCUGUUCAAAAUGUCCUGACUCUGCUUUUCCUUUACUGGGUUCUUCACAGUGUGACUGCUCUUCCUGUUCCCCUCAUACCAACAAAUUGUGUCUGUCCUCAAGACUCAAUUCAUGGAAGCUGCCUCCCCAAAGCAGCCUAUCCUUAAGUGAGCUCUUUAUUCUAAACUCAUUACAAUAUUGCUCUUUGAGCAACUCAUCACGAAUAGCCUGUGACAUCUCCUCUAUUGUAUUCCUGAACUGUUACUCAAGGCUUCAAUGAUCUGCACCUAUUUAGACAGCCCAGUCAGUGUGUUACCUCCUGAGGGCCAGAGGGGACCGGAUCCGCCAUGGGACAGGCACACUAUGAAGCAGAUGAGCAUCAGUGAACAGUUACUGAUCGUCUGGUGGGAGAUGGGGACCAAACUUUAAGGUAGGUGACCUCUGACCUCCCCUCUGCACAGGCACGCAUUUACCCUCCCUGGCUCAGUACCCUCACGGUACCCGUGCCCACUUAGCACCCAAUAUUUGUUACUACUCCCAACAUCCUCUGCCCCUCAAGAAACUUCCCUGUCCAGUUUCUUCCCUACUCAAAGUGUUAAUGUAGCUAAUCUGAUAAACUAACCUGUGCUGAUGCAGUUAUGGGAGUGAGAAGAGAACCAAAGGAGAUGGGUUUUUUUUUUAGCCAUGUGGCAACACCCCUGCCUUUGUGAUGCUUUCAGAGUCAGGAGUUGAGUGGUAGUCCUUACCUCCCAGCAGCUGAUGUGUUCCUCCCUCCUGGGCUCCCACGACACUUGUAUAUACCUCUUAUUGAGGCAAUAGCACACUGUAGCUCCUUAAUUAUGUGUUUAUGUAUGUUUCCCCUCCAAUAGGCUGUGAGCUCCUCAAGGACAGGGACUGUGUGUCAGUCACUGUUAUAUCCACAGCGCCUAGCACAGUGCCUGGCACACAGUAGGUGCUCAAUAAAUGUUUAUUGAAAGGAUGAACGAGUCCUGAGUCCCAUUAUGGAGACUUCUGCUCUAUACUCUGGAAGGCAAGAGGAGAGGAAAGAUAAUCCAUACUUGGGAACUUCACAGCUUUUUAACUCGUCUAACACUGCUGGUAGCUGCUUCCUUUGCCCAUGUCUAUAGCUGUCUCUGCACAACAGGCCCACAAGGAUCCCAAGGAGUUUCCAGCUACGCCUCGCUGUCACCAGAAGAGGCAGUUACCUCCAGCUCCAAAGCCGCUGGGCCUGGAGGGAGUGAGCUCAUUCACCUCCGGGCGCCUGGCAGCCUUCGAGAUCGCCUCUGCCCUGGCGCGCUGGAUGUGGAAGCCGAUGUGCAGCAGGUGGCGCUGUGGAGCCGGUGAUGGCCAGCAG